rnacentral:lncRNA from 1 species
CUUACAAAAUUGUUGGUUGUUAUUUAUGCUUAUUUUACAAUGUGUAGGUACCAUCCGGACAAGAAUGCAAAUGAUCCUAAAGGUGCAGAUAUAUUCAAGGAGGUCACAUUCUCUUAUAAUAUUUGUCUAAUCCAGAUAAAAGGCUUCAAUAUGACACAGCUGGAUUUGAGGUAAAUACUUCUAUGCUCAGCCUUGUGUUUCAAAGUACCUUUUACUUCAGUUAAUUGGACCAAUUUUAAAUUAUUUAGUUCAAAAAUUGAAAACAGUUGCUUUGGACAGGCUGUUGAAUCAGAAGAAGAAAAACUACAAUAUUUUUGGAUUUUUGAUUUUUUCACAUGUAUUAUUUCGAAUACAAAUCUUUUCUAAUAUCUAGAAAAUUAAACAAGAAUAUAUAAACACCAAAAAAUCAGGGUGUAGAUUUAAAUUUCAUUUCUAUUACAUGAACUUUUCCAACAAACUUGUGAUAAAUAAAAAAAAUGGGGAAACUCGCUAGCUGCACUAUAGAAGAAGAGAAACGAAAAAAAAAUCGGGAAAUCUAUACUAAAGGAAGAAAUUGAAGGCAUGAUAAUUAUACUUACCUUCAGAGAAGAAACGGUGUUGUAGUCGUCGAUUGGAUUUGGGAGGGAUUUUCUUUUACCUCUUUUCUACCAUAUGGAGUGAGAAAGCUAGGGUUGCUAUAGAUG